GGAGCGGUAGCGAAGAGGCUAAACGCGUCAGACUGUAAAUCUGAUCCCUACGGGUUCGGUGGUUCGAAACCACCCCGCUCCACCA
rnacentral:tRNA from 1 species